CAAACUUGAGAGUUUGAUCCUGGCUCAGAACGAACGCUGGCGGCAUGCCUAACACAUGCAAGUCGAACGAACCCUUCGGGGUUAGUGGCGCACGGGUGCGUAACGCGUGGGAACCUGCCUUUAGG
rnacentral:rRNA from 1 species